AUGGCGUACUAUGCUCUGCAUUAUCUUAAAUGUAAUCAUGACACUUAUGAUCCUGAAAGAGGUGUAGUUCAAUUACCACAGACUGUUAAGAAAGAGGUUGGAGCCAUUGAUGAAAAACAUUUUUAAAAUCCACAUGUCAAGUAUUAUGCUGAGAGGACUAACUGGGAAAAGGGUGAAGCACUGCUUGGGGUUGCUAAUGUUUCAUGGAAGGUUAUAGCUUCAAUAUACAAUAACUGGAAAUGAUAAUGACUUUUAAAAUUAUAAUUGUAUAACAUAUCAUCAUUCAUGAUAAAAUUAAUUCAUACACUCUAAGUUUUGACAGCAAAAGAUUCAUAUUUGUUUAACACAGCAAUACAGAUUGAUAAAAUUU